CACGUGCAUCUGAGGUCUUCCAGAAGUAAACAGGUUCUUUCCUUUGUUUCCAUGCUCACAGCUGUUGUAUCUGAGCAAAUCCUUGCUUGCAGGAGCUCAGAACAGUGCAACUUUUCUGUCACUGCAGUGCUUUACAUCAUAUUACAGGUACUGACUUCACCAUCGGCUAGCUGAGUUUGUUGCCUGAUUCUUUUUCCCUUUUCUGGUUCUUUCAGAAGGUUCUGAAAGAAAUGUUCUGCUUUGUGAAAGCGGUGUCUUUAUGAAAUGAUGGCAAGAAUAAAUGCCUUGAGUGGCAUUCUUUUCUAAAAGCUGUGAAACUCAUAAGUUGAACUAUGAAUACAGAACAGUUUAGGUGAAAGUACAUUUUUCCUAUCUGAUACUUUAUUUUUGCUGUUAGAAGAAGCUCUAGUAUACUGAAGAAUGUUUCCCAUACAGUAUGUACAAGGAACUAAGGAUGAAUUCAUGUUUAAAGCAUCAGAGUAAGAUGCAGGGUGAAAGAUUUGGCUGCUCAUCUCUCCAUAGACUUCCUCUGUGCCUCAGUUCUCUACUCUUGCAAAGAGGAAGUGGUACCCAUGGGGACAUAGAGUGGUAGGAAUCUUUUUCUGUAAGCAAAACAUCAAUGACUCACCUGGUGACUUCAAAAUGGUCAAGUUUUGAGUAUCUACUGGCAUGGGGAUUCUGCAGCCUCUCUGGACUGCAGACUCUCUGGUGCUCAGCAAUCCCCAUGAGAAGAAUCCUUUCCCCUCCUUCUUUCAAAAAGCAGGUGCUGCAGUAGUCUUGUCAUUUCCUUUGGAAUAUAUUGGGUGUAGAAGUGAUGCCAAAAGGAAGUCUGGGGAAAGAUCACCAUCCAAAAGUAUAAUAAAAGUAGUUAACCUGGCGCCAUCUGGGUGUGGAAGAAUCUGCUGAAAACCGUUUGUGGCAUCUAAAAGGGGGAGAACUUGGGCAUUCAUCUUGGAAAGAUAUUGUCCACUGUGGAUGGGAGUGCUUCUCUCAAGCACUUUGACCUAAAAACAACUGAACAAAGUAUAUGCUAACUCAUCCAUUUUUGCUGAGGCCUUAUAACUGCUGGUAAACGCUGUUCAGUGGGUUUGGCUAUUUCUUCUGCAAUGCUGACAGCACUUGGACUGUCUGCUCCUGCUCUUUCCUUAGGAUGUACAGAGCUGAACUUACUUUGACUUCCUAGUCACUCCCAGUAAAUGCAUUGCAUUGUGUCUUUGGGAGCUGAGUUUAACGGUCAUGUUUCCUCCAGUGCUCGUGUAUAUGUAUUUUCUUUUGGCUGAUACAGAAAUGCCAUUGCUGUAUUUUACUGGUAGUUAAUUUCUCAGUUUCUGGGAUGAAACUCAGUGCCCCAAGUGUCCUCAGACAUUGCAGGUUGCUACAGCUCUUACUAGCACUUAUGCUCCUAUGAGUUGAAGUGAUUCAGUCCCUCAUUUAACUUCAACUGGUUAUUUCCCACGUCUAAUUUCCAAAUGCUAUCACUGUGCCUUCUCUCAGGAACUUGCAUCUUGUUAUUCUUUGUCUUCAGGCACAGAAGGCUGCCUUCUACCUACUUGUCUUGCUUUGAUCUCUAAAAGUCUGAGAGCUUUUACAGCACAACCUACUUUUCCUCAUUGUUACUGUAACAGGUAUCACCUGUGCUGGUCUGAUGCCUCUUCUGAGUGUAGCUCUCACGUAUCCUUGUGUAUGUACUUCCAGUAGAUGCCUAUCCUACCGUAGCUUAAAGCAAAGGUGUGUAUGCUCACAAGGAUUUUAUGUGGUGGAGGAUGCUGUGCUAGAUGCACAGUUUGGUCAUGGGUGCAGCUGGGAUUGUGGCUCAUGGGCAGUUCAGCCUGAUGAAGGGUCGUGAUGGGCAUAAUGCAACUGUGACUUUUUAGUACUCUUAGAUGAUUGCUAACCAGGAGAUGAGGUUUUUAAAAGCACACACAUCUUAUCGUUUUCUCUGGCAAGGAACUCAUUGCAAAGAGGAAAAAAAAAAAACCUCAAAAAAAACCCUGUAAAAUGUCUCCCACUUCCCUCUGCCUAUUCCUGCCCCAUCAACUCCCCUAUCAUCUUUCUGUGGCUGGCAUGGGGCAACAUCUGUAGCCAGAUCAGUCCCUCUCUGUGCUGCCCAUUCUUUGUCACAGAUGAUCAGGUGAGAACACUUGAACAACUGUAAUAAGAGAAGGGCAGUGGUUGGGGAAUUCAUCCUGCACAAGAAAGUCAUUAGUUGUCAGUGUGCACACUUCCAGCUGAAAACAUCACAGCCAGGAGCUUUCACAGCCAAAGUGUGGGACUUUCAAAAGCGAGAGCUGAUAGUGCUUUCCCUGAGCAAGCAAUCUGGUUUUCAGAAAUCAUCACACUUCAGAAAGAUCAUUUUAAAGGCAUCUAGAAACAAAAAUUGUUUCUGAAAGUUUUAGCUCAAACUUCUGCUGUUAUACAAACGGCGUAACAAACUCUUAUGAACCUUGGAACUGAAAUUUUCUUGUAUCUCCAAGUCACGGAUUCACAUCCUGCAUGCUUUCUUCAUAUACCUCUGUUAAGUACUUUCAGCUGGACUUGAAGAAUAAGUAGAGCAGGACUUGAUCAUAGUUAUGCAUGUGCACAUUCCUAGCCACGAUCAAGAAUUACAUUGGCCAGUAUAUGCUAGUACUCUAUUGUGAGUUCUGCCUGGGGAGUCUGCUAACUGAGAUGCUUCUGUUUUUAGAAUACAGUGGGAGAAAGAUACAUUUUUACUGUAGCCAAGUUGGAGUAAUACACAUAGGAAUAUGAAACAAAGGGAACCUAGGAAAUUUUAGCUAAUGAACAAUAUGAACAAUGAGAUCUUUUUGUUCUCCUUUGUUUUCCUUAUUUUUUAAGUGUGAGAAAGAGGGAAAAGGAGAAGAUCAUAGUGUGACCCCAUUCCAUUUCUGGAACUCAUCCCUCUCAUAGUUCACAGGCUCUGUACACCGCAACAAGCAAUUCUGAGGCAGUGUGCUGUAAGUAAUUUAUUAUAAACGCUACCUUUAAAGUGCAUACUUUAAAUGUCUUAUACCUUUAUAAAAGCACUGAUUAUUCUUUUCCAUUUGCCUGCACUUCACAAUUAAAAUUGCAAUUGAAUUGAGAGGAAUACAUUUCUCUACUUAUUUUUACUUUCUUUCCCCCAUCUUUUUUUCUCUCUGCUUUUUUUUCCCCAUCUUCCUUCCAUCUUUUUAUUCUCCAGACUUUUGUCUUAUCUGCACUCCCAUUUAUGGAGGUAAGUCACAUCACUCUUAUACCAUCAGCUGAAUCCAUGCACAUAGAGUGAUAGCUCAGUGUUCAGACAAUGUAUGGUCACUUGAUAAAUGUUGACAUGUAAUCUACUGCCUGAAUCCUCCACAACACAUCGGUGUUAGACAUGCAGACAUAUAGGAUAUCUUAGAUUGUCCUUGAAGAUUAUUCCCCAGGAACUUCUAUGUGGCUUGCCUUGGUGCUUUCCACAGGAAGAACUCAGGGGAAAGGCUUCCCUUUGUGGUAACUUGCUCCUCUAGGUAACUUUCCUGAGAUAGUAGAGUAACUAAAAAUCAUUGCGCUCAGUACAAUAGCUUUUAACUGAGCUCCUGAGGGUUAAAAUCUCUAAAUGUGUGGAAAAUAAAUUGUUGGUAGAGCUGUACUGUGAAUUUUCA
ensembl:lncRNA